AACUGCAGUCACCUUUACACAUUGUGCCAAGAAAAUUACAGUCACCUUUACACAUUGUGCCAAGAAAAUUACAGUCACCUUUAUACAUUGUGCCACUGCCUGGGUCCAAGUUUCAAAGAAGCCUAAUGAGUUAGUGAAUGGACGUAUUAACAACUUCAUGCAUAGCUUACAGAAAGUAGCAAUAAACAAUAUUGGACAUGUUAUACCAAUUGUGACGGAGAAAGCUACCUUGCCGAAUAUCGACUUCUCCAACGGGUUUACACAAACCCAUGCAGUAAAAAAGACAACACUAACUGCAAGAACUGAUAUUAGUAGUCUCAGAAGGAAAUAUAUAUUUGGAUGUGAAUCUUUGAAUUCUUGUCUUCUUUCGACAUUGGG